GAAUAAAAUAUAGUGAUAUCAUUCUUAUGGUGAAGUUGUUAAUGGAGGUAGCUGUUUAUGCUUCUUGUCCAGAUCAAAUCAGGUUAUGCUAACUUGAUGAUGCUUCUAGAGUUUCAACUCACCUGUUAGUUCCUCAUGUUGAUCGACGCGACUGUCUUUUAUCGAAUAAAAUUUGACUGAGUGAAUUGAGAAGCUUUGUUGAAAAAUUAUCUCAACGAAACAUGCACUCAGUAUUGAAAACUUGUUAACAAAACAAGAUCUCAACCAAGCUAUGCCAUUCUGAGCUUCCUUCCUGAAACAGGUGUAAAAACCUUCUGGAAACUUAAUUUACAAAAAUGACUAUCGAAAGGAGUAACCUAAAAGUAUCACGUUACCGGUGGAAAUUGAAUAACAUCAGGUUUUGAAAUGCAACGUCAAAUGACCAGAAAAUAAGCCACUUCAUUACAGUGACGAAAUCCACAGAGAUACAAGAACUCUUCAAUUUGAAGAACACACUACCUAAAUGGCACAAAAUCCUCUCUAAUCAACUCAAUAACAUGAACAACAAAACAGAGGCCGGUGACAAUACCUGCUUGUCAAAUGUCAAGAGUCAAAGAUGAUUGAAUCUAAAUGUCAGUAACAAAAUAAAUGCAACAAAAUGAGAUACUCUUCAGGACCAAAUCUAGUCUUGGGAGAACCAGAUUGUUGCUGCCGAACAUUUCUAAAGGGGCCAUAAAUAUGUUGGAGAAACUCUAAUUCUACUCAAUCUCUACUCCACAAAAUUGCAGGCUAAAAAGCCUCACAGUACCACAGCAACCUUUUCUUGUGAAACAUAGGCAGAAGGAUGGGCGAUCAAGGGCUCAUAGUGGUCAGCUCCAGCACCACACCAACCUGAAUGCGAAAAAUUGGUUACAUAGCUCUUCUCACUGAAGCAUUACAAACUUAAAAAAAGGUACGAGACCAGAUAAAUUAUUUUCUGUUACCUGUUCCUUUCAUGAAAAGGAAAAAGGGAAGUUCUGCAAUUUCGCUCCUUGGACGAUGCGGAAGGAAAAACACACAAUUUUCUUCAUCAACCAUGGCAUCUGAACCAUGCGCUUGCACCUGAAAAUGAUAAAAUAAUUUCAGAUGGAAGCUUGCUGAGACAAUUACACACAAAUAAAACAGCAGAGACAAAUACUGAAUUUUGUAUAAGAAUCUGGAUCAUAUUGUCAAACCUUCACCACAAGCAAUAAUAACUAUAACAGGAUAACUCACAGCAAAUGCCCCUUAUCCAGAAUGAGGAAUUUGGAUCAUAUCAUCAAAUCUUCACCAUGAUACAAGCAAUAAUAACUACAACAGGAUAACUCACAGCAAAUGCCCAUUAUCCGGAAUGGGGAAUACAAGAAACUUCAAUCCUCACAAAAGAAUUCCCCCUUACAAAGUGUCGCAAACAACUAUUUCAUGUCAUAAUAAAACCCAUUGGAGAAGUAUGAGAUUCAACAAGCCAGCCACAAAUGGUCGUCAUUCCAACACAGUACUAUACUUGAUUAGUGUUCUACAAACAAAUAACUGAAUGUAUUACACAAGUAUAUCUGAAUUGCCGUUUGCAACCGAAGGUCAGGACUCAGAACAUCAAUCCAGUUAAUAAUACUCAGAGAGUAUCAUGGACUGAUUCAUUUAGUGGCUGGCUCAACAGGUCUCCCAUUAACUUUCCAAAUUAAUUCACAGAUUAUGAUUAAAAUACCUUUAUUCUCUUAUGACAACUAGCAGGAAUAUGAAAGGAUUCUUGGCAAAUAAUGAUAAUAUUUGUUUCAAAGAA